ACCUGGGUGGCUCAGUUGGUUAAGCAUCUGACUUUGGCUCAGGUCAUGAUCUCAUGGGUUUGUGGGUUCAAGCCCCACGUUGGGCU
rnacentral:tRNA from 1 species